UAAUAGUUGUCGCCGGACGACUAUUUGUAAAAAGUGUUAAUCAACAAUUCUUAGGCCUUAGUUGGAAUUGUUGAUUGGCACUUUUUGUU
rnacentral:ncRNA from 1 species